CUGGGCUGUAGAGUGGGUAAACUGGAUCUUUGAAAUCGGAGUGGAAGCUAAUCCUCCUCUUGCCACCACUCGGCAUUUUGGUUGAAUGUUGCCUUUUCCUAAGCCACCCAUGGCUCUGCCCUGCCUCAUCCUGUGCCUAGAAAGACCCCAGACUCAUCUGGCAGAGAGGAGAAGCAGCUGGAUGAGGGGACGACCAUGGCUGGAUGUCAGAGAGAAGCAGCUUGUCUUCAGAGGGACAGCUUAAGGCGUAACUUCUGAGACGAAUCUGGCUGGAGAUAGCUGGACUUCAAGGGAAGACUACAUACCGGCCUGUCCCACCCCCCUCUUUUCAGCUCACCUUCCCUCUGAAAUCCACUUUGAUCAGCAAUAAAAUCCCAGGCAUUUGUCCUUUAA
rnacentral:lncRNA from 1 species